UCAGCCGAUCGGGCAAUCGCUGUCCUGCUUGCACAUUGACAUUGUGGCAACAGGAGGGAGGAAAGUCCGGGCUCCACAGGGUAGGACGCCAGGUAACGCCUGGGCAGUGUAAGCUGACGGAAAGUGCCACAGAAAAGAGACCGCCUGAUUAUUUUCAGGUAAGGGUGAAAAGGUGCGGUAAGAGCGCACCGCGCAGCCGGUAACGGUUGUGGCAGGGUAAACCCCGUCCGGAGCAAGACCAAAUAGGAAUGCGAUGGUGUGACCCGCACUGCAUUCGGGUAGGUUGCUAAAGGCAUGUGGUGACACAUGCUGUAGAUGAAUGAUUGUCCACGACAGAACCCGGCUUACAGAUCGGCUGCUUUU
rnacentral:RNase_P_RNA from 1 species